rnacentral:rRNA from 1 species
CUCGUAGGUGGCCAACUAAGUCAAACGUGAAAUCCCUCGGCUUAACCGGGGAACUGCGUCUGAUACUGGAUGGCUUGAGUUUGGGAGAGGGACGCGGAAUUCCAGGUGUAGCGGUGAAAUGCGUAGAUAUCUGGAGGAACACCGGUGGCGAAGGCGGCGUCCUGGACCAACACUGACACUGAUGAGCGAAAGCCAGGGGAGCAAACGG